ACGAACGCUGGCGGCGUGCUUAACACAUGCAAGUCGAACGGUGAAGCGCCUUCCUUUUUGGUGGGUGUGGAUGAGUGGCGAACGGGUGAGUAACACGUGAGUAACCUGCCCCCUUCUUCUGGAUAACCGCAUGAAAGUGUGGCUAAUACGGGAUAUUCUGGGUCUGUCGCAUGAUGGGUCUGGGAAAGAUAUUGUUUCGGUGGGGGAUGGGCUCGCGGCCUAUCAGCUUGUUGGUGGGGUGAUGGCCUACCAAGGCGGUGACGGGUAGCCGGCCUGAGAGGGUGGACGGUCACACUGGGACUGAGACACGGCCCAGACUCCUACGAGAAGCAGCAGUGGGGAAUAUUGCACAAUGGGCGCAAGCCUGAUGCAGCGACGCCGCGUGAGGGAUGGAGGCCUUCGGGUUGUGAACCUCUUUCGCCAGUGAAGCAGGCCUGCCUCGUUUGUGGGUGGGUUGACGGUAGCUGGAGAAGAAGCGCCGGCUAACUACGUG
rnacentral:rRNA from 1 species